GGCCCCUUAGCUCAGUUGGUUAGAGCAGGCGACUCAUAAUCGCUUGGUCCCCAGUUCAAGUCUGGGAGGGGCCACCA
rnacentral:tRNA from 1 species